rnacentral:lncRNA from 1 species
CUGGGUUCCAAGUGUCACUGAUCUACAGCCACAUCCUCAACAGACCUGUGGCUGAUACCCUGCAAAUUUCCCUCUGCAAAUAGUAUCAGGCAGAGAGAGAGAUGCAUGUCAACAAGCUGGGAAACAUGUGUGGCAACCUAUGCUUUGCUGGCACUGUCCAACUCUCAUGCUGACCAGGAAUGUGGGCAAGUUCCCUACAGCCCAGAACAGAUGACUUCCUGGCUGCCCUGGAUGGAGGAUCCUUCUGUUUGGUGCACUGAGAUCCCAAGCUGGUACCUGAUGCUCACUGACUGCUUGAGAAAGAAGGGCUCUGACCUCCAGAAGAAUACCCCUCUGGUGCCAGGCAGCCACUCCAGACUCUGGGAGUUGAGACCUGGGAGCAGAGAGCAUGGCACCCACAGUGAAGCCAACCUGUCACGUAACUGCCGGCUGGCUGUGACUGCUGCUGAGAGUCGCACUUGGGAAAUGUGGGGAACUGAUCUUGGCAACAGAGCCCAGGUGUGGAUGCUUGAGAAGCUGAGUUGUCUGCAUGGCUGAGUUCUCUUUUCACCUGCUGGCCACUUCCAGGUGAGUAUCCCAAGGUGUGGAGUGCAU